rnacentral:tRNA from 1 species
GGUGGCUCAAUGGUAGAGCGCUUGCCUUGCAUGCAUGAGACCCUGGGUUCGAUUCCCCAGCACCA